rnacentral:rRNA from 1 species
CCUACGGGCGGCAGCAGUGAGGAAUAUUGGUCAAUGGCCGGAAGGCUGAACCAGCCAUGCCGCGUGAAGGUCAGUGCCCUAUGGGCGUUAAACUUCUUUUGUGCGGGAGCAAUAAUGGUCACGUGUGGCCAGACGAGAGUACCGUACGAAUAAGCAUCGGCUAACUCCGUGCCAGCAGCCGCGGUAAUACGGGGGAUGCAAGCGUUUUCCCGAUUUAUUGGGUUUAAAGGGUGCGUAGGCUGUGAGGUAAGGCAGCGGGGAAAUGCCCCCGCUCAACGGGGUCAAGUGCCAUUGAUACUGCCUUGCUGGAAUGCGGAUGCCGUGGGAGGAAUGUGUGGUGUAGCGGUGAAAUGCAUAGAUAUCACACAGAACACCGAUUGCGAAGGCAUCUCACGAAUCCGCGAUUGACGCUGAUGCACGAAAGCGUGGGUAUCAAACAGGAUUAGAUACCCGGGUAGUC